UGCCUGGCUUGUGUGACCCAGAGGUUUCCACUGUGCUUCCAGCAUGACCAGCCUCAUCGCCAAAAUGAGGACAAGGAAAAAGAGCUCUAUCGCUGGGAGUGGAUAUCAUAUAUAGACUAAAAAGCUCCCUAAUUCCAAUCAGAUGCUUCCAGUCUUCUACAGACUGAGACAAACUGGAUCAUAAGGACUGACAGAAAAUUAUGUAAGGGGCCUCAGCCAUGAACCUAGCGAUGGGUGAGAAAUCAAAUUUUCCUUCCUCUACAUUCUCUUCCACAUAAGACAACUUAUAAAGGCACCAGUAGCUUGAGAGACUUAUACAAACAGGAUUUACUCUUAAGAUAAAGAGUUAUUUUUAGAUAAAGGCUCUCCGCUAAAAUGUAUGCUGCAAAUUUAUGAACUCCUGAAGAAAGAUGUGCCUUCUUGAAUCUGAAUGAUAUUAACUGAAGAAAGUUGAAAAAAGAUGCUCAAGUUUCAACAGGUGAUUGAUAUACAGCAUUCAAACAGUGAUGCAAAACACAUAAUAAUAUGAAUUUCAGUGACUUCAGCAAUAACUGAUAGUAAGUGGGAGAUUCUUUUUUAAAUUUAAAAGUGGAGUGGGGGGGUCAAAUAUGGAACAAGAAAAGACCCAUAACAACCAAACCAAUCUUGAGCAAAACAAACAAAAAAAACCUGGAGGCAUUACACACUCUGAUCUAAAAAAGAAAAUCCUAAAGCUCUUAUAAUCAAAACAGCAUGGUACUGGAUGACAUAAAACAGACAUAUCAACCAAUGAACAUGAUAGAAAUCCCAGAAAGAAAUCUAUGACACACAGGUGCCAUAUGGGAAAUAAGUAGAGUCUCUUUAAUAAAUGGUGGUGGGAAAAAUGCAUAUUCACAAGGAGAAAAAUGAAAUUGAACUUUUAUCUCACACCAUAUUCGAGAAUGGACUCAAAAGAAUAAAGAAAUCUAACAUAAAACUUGAAACUAUAAGUAGAAGAAAACAAGGGAAAUGCCUCAUGAUACCAGUCUAGGAAAUGAUUUAUUGGAUAGCAUUCCAAAAGCACAGGCAAUGAAAGCAAAAAUAAACAAAUAGGAUCACAUCAAACUAAAAAUUGUUUCCUCUGCACA